UACGUAGGGCGCAAACGUUGUCCGGAAUUAUUGGGCGUAAAGAGCUCGUAGGCGGCUUGUCACGUCGAUUGUGAAAGCCCGAGGCUUAACCUCGGGUCUGCAGUCGAUACGGGCUAGCUAGAGUGUGGUAGGGGAGAUCGGAAUUCCUGGUGUAGCGGUGAAAUGCGCAGAUAUCAGGAGGAACACCGGUGGCGAAGGCGGAUCUCUGGGCCAUUACUGACGCUGAGGAGCGAAAGCGUGGGGAGCGAACAGG
rnacentral:rRNA from 1 species